AUUGAACGCUGGCGGAAUGCUUUACACAUGCAAGUCGAGCGGCAGCGCGGGGCAACCUGGCGGCGAGCGGCGAACGGGUGAGUAACACAUCGGAACGUGCCCAGACGUGGGGGAUAGCCCGGCGAAAGCCGGAUUAAUACCGCAUACGAUCUGAGGAUGAAAGCGGGGGAUCGCAAGACCUCGCGCGUUUGGAGCGGCCGAUGGCAGAUUAGGUAGUUGGUGGGGUAAAGGCUUACCAAGCCUGCGAUCUGUAGCUGGUCUGAGAGGAUGAUCAGCCACACUGGGACUGAGACACGGCCCAGACUCCUACGGGAGGCAGCAGUGGGGAAUUUUGGACAAUGGGCGCAAGCCUGAUCCAGCCAUUCCGCGUGCAGGACGAAGGCCUUCGGGUUGUAAACUGCUUUGUACGGAACGAAAGACCUCUCUAAUACAAGGGUCGAUGACGGUACCGUAAGAAUAAGACACCGGCUAACUACGUGCCAGCAGCCGAC
rnacentral:rRNA from 1 species